GGUCAUGACCUGGUUUAUGCAGUAGAGUUUUAAAAACAGUGAAAGUUAAGAAAGUCUGAAAGUUUGAAUAAAAUUUAAAAAAUAAAUAAUAUUAAAACUGUAUGUUCACAUUGUGCUAGUAUAGCAUCAUAAAAAUACCCUGUAUAGUAUAAAAUUACAAGAAGAACAAUUUAAUUGAUGGAUUGUGUUUAUACAACAAUAGUAAUUGAAAACAAGACCAUGAGUCAACCUUUGAGAAGGGUUCACUGUGGUGCAUCUACUCCAGCUCCUUAAGGGAAAGCUUUCCAUCUUUACACAGUUGGAUGAUUUGCUCAACCCCCCCAACCCUAUAACCACCGAGGAUCCUACGGACUGAGCAAGCCAGGAUGAUAACAGUCCUGUGGGCAAAUGGGAACAAUGAAAACAAAGACAGUGCGUCUUUUUGUCCGCCCACAAACACGAUCUUGCCUCGAGCUGCUCUCCCUCCACCAUCCGUAUCCCAACAUGGCCUCUGACCUUAAUGUGGCGAGCAGAAUGGCUGGCAGCUUGUCCACAGCACGGUGGAGCGUGAAGCACGCAAUACGUCAUUACCGAGAUGCUGAGUUUCAGACUGUCAACAGGCAUCAAACCCGACAAUGCCUUGAUUACAAUUUUCCAUCUUGAGCCGUCCGCAGGAUGCUGCGGGCGGCUCUCUAACACGCCGCUGCAUUCUAUUUCCUGCAUUGCUCAUGUGAUCAGUUUAUUUGAAAUAAACCCAGCAUAAAGCUGAUUAUUCGACAUGUUAAUUCAGGAAGAAAAAGCUCAAAUAAAUCUAAUAAUUUAGUUUCCACUUGCAGACAAGGAAAUGAAACACUCUGCUUGCACCAUUUGCCCCUUGGGUCACAUUUAUUUAUAAAAAGGAUGCAUUUCCUUUUCUUUUUGUUCCUCCUCAGGCUGAGCUUACCUCUCUUUCAGCUUAUGCCUCAGCUGACCGUCAAACGGGGAGCUUUACCCCUGACCGGCUACGUGGUCAACCCAUUUACAACCUGAGCCCCGCAGCCGCCCUAAUGCAGAGAGCAACACUUCUUUGAGAUUUGUUUUCUUUACAGGAGGAGAAUUUUGUGCAAAUGCUUCAGGAGCAAGGUAACAACAAGCAGCAUCACUUUCCCAAUUUUUACGCUGCAUUUGUUCAUUUCUCUACUGGCAAUCCAACUUGAAGCUAUAACCACCAUCAUCUCUGAGCUUUUCUCUGGUUUCACCUCAGCAGACUCUCCAUCUGUGAGGCCCCAAGUCCCACACUGUGCGCCGGCAUGCCUGGGACGCUCACUUGGUCGCAUCUCCCAUCUAAAUAAUUCUGUCUUCAUUUGUCAAACUUGUCUCUCCCGCCUGCGUCUGGGACCGACGCUUAGGUGUGGAAGGUCCUGUCACGGCUCACGCGUCUCGGCACACAUGCAUGCGCGCCGUGUGUGGUUGAUAGAGAUGAAUGCCUUGUGCAUUUGAGCGUUCUCCAAAGUGAGUGCGCUUGACAGACAGUCAAUCAGCCUGUGAUGAGAGGCAAUCCCCACCAUGGACGGAUCAAUUAGUUACUUUCUUAGAAGACAAGCAGAAGAAAAACACCAGUGUUCUCCAGGGAGGGAGGCGAAGAUCCAACCGAUCGAGGCAGAUUAAUGGCAUGAGAGCGCAGCCAGUGAGAAAAGAGAUCUCCACUUGGCUGGAUUAUUUAUGCCGGACUUUGCAGAGAGAGA